UCAUUCAUACUGCAACCGGCUCAUGUGCAUGGAAGAGUCUUCUGUUUCACUCUUUCAUAUGUGUCUGUGUUUUAAUCGAUGUGACAGUUUUAACAGCACCUCUCCCUCUGACAAAGUGACAUAUUGCACGUGAAGUGCCUGUCAGCGUCAUCAUCCUCAUCUACGAGGCCAUAUAAUAAGGCGGUUUGCUUUUUAUAUCUAGCAGCAGCAACGGAGGACGAGGCAACACAAUCAUUAAAAGAACAAACUAACAAACAAAAAACAAACAAACUGCAGCCUGGAGGGAAACUCAAGAAAUGAAAAGUUCAACGAUGACUCUUUCAGUCAUGUUGCUGUUAGUGACAUUGGUUUGCCAUUCUUGGAGUGCGGCACAAUGGAGAAACUGGACUCCCCAGGCAGUUUUAUACCUGAAAGGAGCACGUAAGAGUCAAUCUGUCCUCCUUAGUUUUUGUUUUUUUC